GAUGAAGAACGCAGCGAAAUGCGAUAAGUAAUGUGAAUUGCAGAAUUCAGUGAAACAUCGAAUCUUUGAACGCACAUUGCGCCCCCUGGUAUUCCGGGGGGCAUGCCUGUCCGAGCGUCAUUACAACCCUCAAGCUCAGCUUGGUAUUGGGCCCCGCCGACCCGGCGGGCCCUAAAGUCAGUGGCGGUGCCGUCCGGCUCCGAGCGUAGUAAUUCUUCUCGCUCUGGAGGUCCGGUCGUGUGCUCGCCAGCAACCCCCAAUUUUUUUCAGGUUGACCUCGGAUCAGGUAGGGAUACCCGCUGAACUUAAGCAUAUCAAUAAGCGGAGGA
rnacentral:misc_RNA from 1 species